CAGCCGCCGCGGUAAUACAGAGGGUGCGAGCGUUAAUCGGAUUUACUGGGCGUAAAGCGUGCGUAGGCGGCUAAUUGAGUCGGAUGUGAAAUCCCCGAGCUUAACUUGGGAAUUGCAUUUGAUACUGGUUAGCUAGAGUGUGGGAGAGGAUGGUAGAAUUCCAGGUGUAGCGGUGAAAUGCGUAGAGAUCUGGAGGAAUACCGAUGGCGAAGGCAGCCAUCUGGCCUAACACUGACGCUGAGGUACGAAAGCAUGGGGAGCAAACAGGAUUAGAUACCCGAGUAGUCCCUGUCUCUUAUAC
rnacentral:rRNA from 1 species